UGUUGGAGAUUUUCAAUAAAUACAAAUUCAUACCGUUUUAGGGUUCUCAGGUGAAAAGAGGCAAUGCAUGAUGGGCAUGUUUUUACUUCAUUUAUUAUGGAUGCUGCCAUCACCAAUAGAUGGCGACUCUUAAGAAAAAGGAGGUGAACAAAGGCGUGGAGGCAGUAGAAAAAGAAGCAAAGCAUGAUGUGCUACGAAUGCUGUCUCAUCCACUGAAUAUGUGUGCUCACACCUUUGUAGCAAAUUAGCCUCUGACUGAAGAUGGUGUGCGCGGUAAAGACGUCGGCCCCGGCGAAUUGUACAACUCAUACUUACCUGGCAGGGGAGAUACCAUGAUCAAGAAGGUGGUUUACCCAGGGUGAGGCUCAGCCAUUGCACUCCGGUUGUGCUGACCCCUGCGAAUUCCCCAAAUGUGGGAAUCUCGACUGCAUAAUUUCUGGUAGUGGGGGACUGCGUUCGCGCUCUCCCCUGAUCAAAGUGU